AAAACUCCAUAUAGCAACAGCAGAGCAUCACCCAAAACAUCAGACACAACAACUUCACAGUCUUCACAGCAUAGCUCAUACAGUCUUCAGUCUUCCACACACAAGAGGGGGAACCAUCAAUCAGAGGAAGAAGUAUCACCUUCACCUUUACCUUCACCUUCAGAGCCUUCAGAGCUAUCAGAGCUGUCACUGGAUUGUGCUUUUGCAUCUGAAUCCUU
rnacentral:lncRNA from 1 species